rnacentral:rRNA from 1 species
CAACGAAUAUUCCGCAAUGGGCGAAAGCCUGACGGAGCGACGCCGCGUGCAGGAGGAAGUCCCUCGGGAUGUAAACUGCUGUCGGGGGCUAGAAAGAUCUGAUCAGCCCCGAAGGAAGCCUCGGCUAACUACGUGCCAGCAGCCGCGGUAAUACGUAGGAGGCGAGCGUUGAUCGGAAUUACUGGGCUUAAAGCGCGUGUAGGCGGAAUGGCAGGUCUCUUGUGAAAGCCCCCGGCUCAACCGGGGAAUUGCAGGGGAAACCGCUAUUCUUAAGGCAGGUAGAGGCGACUGGAACGUGUGGUGGAGCGGUGAAAUGCGUAGAUAUCACACGGAACGCCGGUGGUGAAAACGGGUCGCUGGGCCUGACCUGACGCUGAGACGCGAAAGCGUGGGGAGCAAACAGGAUUAGAUACCCCCGUAGUCC